rnacentral:tRNA from 1 species
GUGGCUCUGUGGUAAGAGCAUCUGCUUUGAACGCAGAAGGUCCCAGGUUCAAUCCUGGACA